UCAGCGAUGUCCGAGAGGUUAAGGAGAUUGACUCAAAAUCAAUUGGGCUCUACCCGCGUAGGUUCGAAUCCUGCUCGCUGCG
rfam:Angiostrongylus costaricensis strain Costa Rica genome assembly, scaffold: ACOC_scaffold0002277